CCUGGGUACACACACUUGUGUUUGAGAAAGAGAUAGAGCCUGCGUGCUCUGACAACAGAAAACGCCACUUUUUAAUGCGCGGUGUGAUCACGUGCUGAUUUAAAUUCCAAUCUCGUGUAAUUCGCUUAGCUAUCAGUCACACGGUAACUUAACACAUAUACAUUUUCUCUCUGUGUGUGUGUGUGUGUGUGUGUGUGUGUGUGAAAAUGAAGAGAAAGCAGGCGAGUCUCCCGGCCCACUUUAUGAAUGCGCAGCGCAGCCCAUUGGGAAUUUUCCCGAUUUUCCCGAUGGCCUCUCCGGGCCUGGCCCUAUCUCAGUGACGAGACCCCGAUGGAAGGAGAAGCUCUUGUGAUCCGAUCGGGGCGCUGAGGUGGGACCGGAGCGCUUGAAUAUUGAGAAAUGGCCGACGAGGGAAAUUAAUGGCAUAUUACAGCCCAGGGACAGAGUAAGGCCUCUGUAAUAAUGAAACUAUGGGAACUCAAUACACCCUCUAGCCAAAACACAGCCAGAGAGUGUGCACACACACACACACACACGUAUAUACACCCACACUGCAGACAUUAUACACACACUAUUGAAGUUCUCAGCUGCAUACUUCCUCGCUCAAGGCUCUAUUUUUCUGCUUCUAACUACAUCCACAUUAGCAAGAGACUAGUCACUUGCCUCGCUUGUGGGCGUGUAGUGACUGCUCGUGUUGUAGCUUGUGUUGUGCUAGUGUGUGUGUGUUUUUUUUAUUAUUUAAUUCUGAUGAGAAACAAUGGUGGUCAAAAUGGAUAUGCAUCUAAAGCUUACAAGUUAAACACAACUUAAAUAAUCUGCUAGUCAGUGUGAAAACCCGCUUUUUGGUUUACAUGCUAAAUGCACAGCUUCGUACUAGCGUCGUUCUCAGAUUAGAUUAGCAAAGCAAGCUUUGCUAUUUUAUUUUGGGGGAAUCCAACAACCAUCCUGAUGUUUUUAGGCUCUGAGGACAAGCUGACCAACGUAAUCAAUCAUCAUCACCGUGAAAGACGGAAACGCGGAAACGAAAAGGAAACAAAGGCUUCGACAAAAAUCAGACUAAACUGAUCAAGGACUGAACUCAGAACAGGUGCACAUAUUAGGUAACAGACUAAUGAGAAGACAGGGGACGGAGACAGGACCAAAACACAGGCAUAUGACAAUGUAAACAAAAAAUGCUAACUUCACAACACACGAAUUUACGAAAAUACAGCAACAAGCAACAAAUUAGCUCCAGAAUUGCUAACAAACAAACAACAAAUAUUUCACUAUAAACAGAUUUAACAUGGAGGGUUUUUUUUACCGUAAUGAGAACAAAAUGAAGCAAGUUGUCGUAGAAAGAUGACGACAUCACAGCUGGGUCGUAACUGCUGAAUCCUGGAAGCAAGUGAGGCAGUAAAGAUAUCAGAAGUGAGAGAGAGAGAGAGAGAGAGAGAGAGAGAGAAUGUGCUAUUUAUGUAUUUUUUUCAUUUAUGGUAGAAAACUGCAGAACAUCUCGUUAUUCACACUGUUCCCAAGCGUCUGGAGGAAAGUCAACAUGUUUUCAAAGCCUCAGUUGCCUAGAACUGUUCUCAAGCUGAAGCACAGCAUACACCCAAAAGUAUGUGCACCCCUGACCAUCACACCCAUAUGUGGUUCUUCUCCAAACUGUUCCCACAAAGUUGGAAUGGUAUAGAAUGUCUCUGUAUGCUGUAGUAUUACUAUUCCCCUUCACUGGAACUACACAGCUCAGACCUGUUCCAGCAUGACGAUGCCCUUGUGCACAAAACGAGCUCCAUGAAGACAUGGUGUGUUAAGGUGGGAGUGGAAGAACUCCAGUGUCCUGCACAGAGCCCUGACAUCAACCCCACUGAACACCUUUGGGAUGAAUCUGAACACCGACUGCACCCCAGAUCUCCUCACCCAACAUCAGUACCUGACCUCACUAAUGCUCUUAUAGCUGAACGAACACAAAUCCCCACAACCACGCUCCGAAAUCUAGUGGAAAGCCUUCCCAGAAGAGUGGAGCUUAAUAUAACAGUGAAGGGGGAAUAAAUCUGGAAUGAGAUGCUCAACAAGCACAUAUUGGUGUGAUGGUCAGCUGUGUUUAAACAUUUUAAGCGCAGAUCAACAGUCAAAAUGUCUCCCCAUGCAGAUAUUAGAUUUGUAAAAGGAUUAUAUAGAAAAUGUUUUUGGUGAUGGUAAAUCACAAGCAGUGGAUAGUCAAUAUCGCAUAAGCCUACAGUGCACAUAUAAAUAACAAGCCUAAAUAUUUAAACUGUUAGAUUAUGUUCAUAAAAUAAAUCUGUACUUAGAGGAUCUUUUCUCUCAAACCAUAUUGUUUCUAAUUAUUAUUAUUUUUUUUUUUUUUUUGCUACUUCUCAUGGAAAAACAAGUUUUUUAUUUAUUUAUUUUUAAAAACAAGUACCAUUUCUUAGACGUUUGUCACCAUCUGGACCUUCUGUUCCUGGGAUUUGACACCAAGGUUCCUGCUUCUGUCCAAUCAGAAACACAGAACCGUGAAACAGAACUGUUCCGGGUUUUGACUGUUCAGCAUGGUGGAGUUCUCAAGAGACACUACAGAUGUGUGAUUAAUGGAGAUCUUUAGAAAACAUAUUGCUUUCGGAGAUUGUUAGGUUAAUUAAUUUCAAACUUCAGUUGGAGGAUGAGAAGACAUUUUAAUGAUUUUU